rnacentral:rRNA from 1 species
AAUCAACGCUGGCGGCGUGCCUCAGACAUGCAAGUCGAACGAUUAAGACUCCCUUCGGGGAGUGUAUAAAGUGGCGCACGGGUGAGUAACACGUAAGUAAUCUGCCUUCGAGUGGGGAAUAACCCGGGGAAACCCGAGCUAAUACCGCAUAACGCAGCGGCAUCGCAAGAUGACAGUUGUUAAAGGAGCAAUCCGCUUGAAGAGGAGCUUGCGGCAGAUUAGCUAGUUGGUAAGGUAACGGCUUACCAAGGCUACGAUCUGUAUCCGGUCUAAGAGGACGGUCGGACACACUGACACUGAAUAACGGGUCAGACUCCUACGGGAGGCAGCAGUCGGGAAUUUUGGGCAAUGGGCGAAAGCCUGACCCAGCAACGCCGCGUGAGGGAUGAAGUAUUUCGGUAUGUAAACCUCGAAAGAAUGGGAAGAAUAAAUGACGGUACCAUUUAUAAGCCCCGGCUAACUACGUGCCAGCAGCCGCCGUAAAAC